rnacentral:rRNA from 1 species
GACGAACGCUGGCGGCGUGCUUAACACAUGCAAGUCGAGCGGAGUGGCGAACGGGUGAGUAACACGUGGGUGACCUGCCCUGCACUUCGGGAUAAGCCUGGGAAACUGGGUCUAAUACCGGAUAGUGUGGGAUGGGCCCGCGGCCUAUGGGCUUGUUGGUGGGGUAAUGGCCUACCACGGCGGCGACGGGUAGCCGGCCUGAGCGGGGGGACGGCGACCUGGGGACUGCGGGACGGCGCAGACUGCUAUGGGAGGCAGCAGGGGGGAAUAUUGCACAAUGGGCGGAAGCCUGAGGCAGCGACGCCGCGUGGGGGAUGACGGCCUUCGGGUUGUAAACUCCUUUAACCAUCGACGCGGUAGAUGGAGAAGAAGCACCGGCUAACUACGUGCCAGCAGCCGCGGUAAUUC